rnacentral:lncRNA from 1 species
UGAGAGUGUUGAGAGAGAGAAUUGAGUGUGUUCUGGAGGGCUGGGGAGGCCUCAUGGAGGCAAUCAGGCUGCUGCUGGGCUCUAAGACUGGGUAGGGCUUAAAUGAACAACUGAGAGGGAGAUGGUGGAACAUCAUGAAUGAAGACUCAGAGUUUCAGCAUCAAUGAAUCAUCAAAGAUGAUCAUUUAUGUGACUACGUGGCAACCAACACAGGUAGUUGGCGUGCAUGAAUGAAGCUUACAAGGAAUUUUUUGUUUUUAUUUUCAAUUAUCUAGAGCCAAGGCUAAGACAAGCAUGUAUUUCAACUAUUUUCCUUUGUUGGGUGAUUUUUUUUUCUAUUUUUCCCAAUG